rnacentral:lncRNA from 1 species
CCAGUCUUGUUUACCAUUUUUUUUUUGAGACGCAGUCUCACUCUGUUUCUUGCAGUGCCUCGAUCUUGGCUCACUGUAACCUCCACCUCCCGGGUUCAAGCAAUUCUCCUUCCUGAGCCUCCCGAGUAGCUGGGAUUACAGGCAUGCGCCACCACGCGAGAGUGGGCUUCACCAUGUUGGCCAGGCUGGUCUCGAACUAUUGACCUCGUGAUCCACGCCUCGGCUUGCCAAAGUGCUGGGAUUACAGGUGUGAGCCACUGUGCCCAGCCCUUGUUUACCAGUUUUUAAAUUCACGUAACAAAAAAACCCUGGCUUAAUGUUAUGUUAAUAUUUACAUCUCAGUGUUUUUAAAACAUAAAGAUCAGUUAUUUUGGCCAGGUGUGGUGGCUCAUGCCUCUAAUCCCAGCACCAUGGGAGGCCAAGGUGGGAGGAUCACUUGAGGCCAGGAGUUUGACACCAGCCUGGGCAACACAGCGAGACCCCAUCUCUACCAAUAAUAAUAAUAAUAAUAAAGAUCAGUAACUACCCAGGCCAAAACGCAGUGGCUCAAUUUCAGCCUCCCGAGU